UAACACUCAAUAAAUUAAACCGUUAAAAACGCUCAAGGAAAUCAUUGUUCUACUAUUAUAUUGUGAACACAAGUAUACAAAAGAAAAGACAUCGGUUGAAUGUAUAGACAUGUGUGUGUAAAUAACUUUUGUCACUCGUAUGACGGAUUCAGUAUAGAAGAAUCUAUAAGGAUGUGAAAAAGUUCUAAUUUUUAUCAAAAUAAAUCCUAAAGCGUCACAAUUUACAUUCCACCCCGUUCGACAAUCAAGACAAGCCAUGAGUUGUCCACUUCAUGUAGUUGAUGUCAUCAAACUGAUGUUUUUCACAUCUGUGUUCAUCAAUGCUGUAGUUACAGCACAAACUGAGACGCAAGACGAGAAGAUUAUAUUGUAUCAACAGCCAACACAUACAAGAACAAAAACAGCCACGCCUACAACCUUAGUGACAUCUCUUAGACCAACCCGAAAAUCUAACAGCAUGAGGCAGAAGGAACUCAGGGACAGAAGAAAAAACAGAGAGAAACAAGGACUGAAUUCAAGAAAGUUAUAAAAAAGAGUAUUAAAUCAAACAACACAAUCAAUCAGUUAUAACAAGACAAUCAAUCAGUUAUAACAAGACAAUCAAUCAGUUAUAACAAGACAAUCAAUCAGUUAUAACAACACAAUCAAUUAGUUAUAACAAGACAAUCAAUCAGUUAUAACAACACGAUCAAUCAGUUAUAACAAGACAAUCAAUCAGUUAUAGCAAGACAAUCAAUCAGUUAUAACAAGACAAUCAAUCAGUUAUAACAACACAAUCAAUCAGUUAUAACAACACAAUCAAUCAGUUAUAGCAAGGCGAUCCCUUGUAGCUGGACAUACAAAUCAGCUAGAAUGAAAUCUUUGAGAAGGCACCAGGAUAUAAGAUCACGUGGUCAUUGGUUGUGGGGUACACAUCUGGUUAAAAGUUUUUGUGUUUUAGUCUACAAAAUAUGUACACAGGAGACUUUUACACGCGUAUAUAUGACGUAUUUAAAUAUUAAAACAAGGUUACAAAGGCAGUUUGUGUGCAAACACUAACUCAAAAUCGGCCCCCCAAGUGGUCCACCCAGGCAGGUAAAAUGGCAGGUUUCAAUAUUUUAGGAAAGAACAUCUGGAUGAAAUUCUAUCAAAGACAAAUGACAGGGAAGAAUGGAGAAAGAAGGUUGACAGAUCUUGUGUGGUGCCCCAGCGAUCCAGCAGACCAAAGGACAGGUGAAAAUGAAUGUGAAGUUAGUUGUGAACCUGGCAUAAAUGAUGUCUCAUAAUGAAUAUCUAAUUGAUCUAAUUUUUUUGUAAAGGGUCAAUUUCUUAUUCAAAUCCUCAAGAAAAAAAACAUAAAAAAAAAACAAAAAAAAAACAACAAAUAGUUCUGUGUAUUAUAUCCGAAGUGUAUGACAGCAGUCCACACGAUAAUAUGAAAAACUACUUAUUAAUUGUUGUUUUAAAUUAUGUCCAACUUAUAUCCAUACUAAAUAAUUUUUUUUCUCUUACAAAAAAUAAAACUUUUUUUGUGUGUAAAUGUAGUAGUAAUUAUGACAGAACUUACAUAACUAAGCAAUACAAAUGUCAUACAAUUAUUUUUUUUUUAAUCUAAAACCAUAUAUGGUAAAGAGUUGUCUCCUUUCCUAAAGAGCCUCCGGUAUUUGUUACUAUAUAAAGUAUAUAUCUUCCAUAACGAGUGCUCUCGGUUAGUUCCACUCUAUAAUGAUAUUUCAUGCAAUAGUUUACAAUUUUUCUAACCACAUUCCCAAUGUAAUAUUUCUUGUCUAACGAUAACUUUUAAAAAGAAAUACUUUUAAAAACGUUGGGAAUAUAUUUUUUGUUGUGGCAGCUUGUUAUGGCAACAUUUUUGUUGUGGCAGCUUGUUAUGGCAACAUUUUUGUUUUGGCAGCUUGUUAUGGCAACAUUUUUGUUUUGGCAGCUUGUUAUGGCAACAUUUUUGUUUUGGCAGCUUGUUAUGGCAACAUUUUUGUUUUGGCAGCUUGUUAUGGCAACAUUUUUGUUUUGGCAGCUUGUUAUGGCAACAUUUUUGUUUUGGCAGCUUGUUAUGGCAACAUUUUUGUUUUGGCAGCUUGUUAUGGCAACAUUUUUCUUUUGGCAGCUUGUUAUGGCAACAUUUUUGUUUUUUGAAACGAUCAUUGUUAACUCUUUCUCGCCGUAGUUAUUUUCUUUGUUCCGAUCGAAUUAUCCAUUUUUCCCUAUUCGUAUUUCACUAUCCUGAUAUUAAACUUCAAUAAACUUUUUUAUUUGUUAUC